rnacentral:rRNA from 1 species
AACAGGAUUAGAUACCCUGGUAGUCCACGCCCUAAACGAUGUCAACUAGCUGUUGGGGCCUUCGGGCCUUGGUAGCGCAGCUAACGCGUGAAGUUGACCGCCUGGGGAGUACGGUCGCAAGAUUAAAACUCAAAGGAAUUGACGGGGACCCGCACAAGCGGUGGAUGAUGUGGAUUAAUUCGAUGCAACGCGAAAAACCUUACCUACCCUUGACAUGUCUGGAAUGCCGAAGAGAUUUGGCAGUGCUCGCAAGAGAACCGGAACACAGGUGCUGCAUGGCUGUCGUCAGCUCGUGUCGUGAGAUGUUGGGUUAAGUCCCGCAACGAGCGCAACCCUUGUCAUUAGUUGCUACGAAAGGGCACUCUAAUGAGACUGCCGGUGACAAACCGGAGGAAGGUGGGGAUGACGUCAAGUCCUCAUGGCCCUUAUGGGUAGGGCUUCACACGUCAUACAAUGGUCGGGACAGAGGGUCGCCAACCCGCGAGGGGGAGCCAAUCCCAGAAACCCGAUCGUAGUCCGGAUCGCAGUCUGCAACUCGACUGCGUGAAGUCGGAAUCGCUAGUAAUCGCGGAUCAGCAUGUCGCGGUGAAUACGUUCCCGGGUCUUGUACACACCGCCCGUCACACCAUGGGAGUGGGUUUUACCAGAAGUAGUUAGCCUAACCGCAAGGGGGGCGAUUACCACGGUAGGAUUCAUGACUGGGGUGAAGUCGUAACAAGGUAACC